rnacentral:lncRNA from 1 species
CGCGGCCGGGGGCUGAGCCGGGGGAGGCGGAGUGCGGGCCAGCCGGGCGCUGCAGGUCGGCGCGGCGCGGGGCGGGCGGCCGGCGGGCGCGGGGCGGGGCGGGGCGGUGCAGCCGGCGAGGGAGCCCGGAACUCCGCGGGGGCCGAGGGGCCGGCGACCGGCCCCGAGCGGCGGCGGCGGCGGCGGCUGCAGCCGAGCGGCGCGUGGGCCCAGGGGCUUUCCAGCCCUGGGGCCGGCGCGGCUGGCCGGGGAGCAGCCUGGCAGCGGCAGCGGCGGCAGUGGCAGCCACCCCGGGGAAAGAGCCGGGGGAGGGCGGGGAGGCGGGGUGAAGAGGAGGAGGAGGAGAAGGAAGGGGAGGAGGGCGGGCGGAAUAAACUUCCCGAGGCGCUACGGCACGGGCUGAGAGGACAGCCGCGGGCGGGGCGGGCGCGCCGGGUGCGGGCUUGCCCGGGGGCGGCGGGGGAGACGGUCACAGAGAGUCGCAAAGUUCCCCCAGCGCCGAGGGGGAGGCUGCGGUGGCGGCGGCGGCGGCUGCAAAGAGUAGGAGCCGGAGCGGGAGGAGCGGGAGGAGGAGGAGAAGGAAGUGGCUGCGGAGCGCUCGGCCAAUGAGUGUCUGGAGCUGUGAUUAACCAGGCAGCAACACAUCAUUUCCUCCCGGCGCGGAUCCAGGGAGCCGGGAGGGAGAGGGAAGGCGGCGGGGCGGGGCUGGCCCCGCGCCCCCUGCAGGCUCCCGGCCGGGGGCGAGCCCGCCGAGCCCCGCCGAGCCUGACCCGGCCGCCCCCGGCGCGCCCCCGCGCUGUCUGGCUGGCCCGGCGGAGGCCGCGAGCGCGCCGCCCGCAGGGCUCCUCGGGCGGCGGGGAGGCGGCGGGGCAGGCCCGAGCCGGGCUCCCCGCGGCCGGGGUGGGAGGAGGAGAGGCCGCGCGGCGCGGGUGAGUGCCCAGGUUCAUUCAUGCAGCAGGCAUUUAUUGGGUGACUGUCUGCAGUACUGCAAAAGGUUGCACAGGAAAUGGAAGAUCUGGUCCCUGCAGCAAUACCCGCAAAAACUUCAAUAAAGCUAAAGGAGAUGCUGAAGAGGAGGAGAAGGUAGCCCAGAAUGGAUCUGUAACUUCCCAGGAAGGAUGUCUCCAAAAUGACAUUUUUAUUGAACGCUUCCUAUCAAAUACUAGAGCAUCCUCCAAAUUGUUCAUGCUUUCCCAAACCCGGAUCCAUGCCUGCGUGGGAAUCAAAAGCCUGCGAUAAGAGCCGCCUUGAGCAAGUCAACCUGACUCCAGCUUUCUCUUGGGUGAAGAGAACACCACAAACACCAGGAUCUCUGGCCAGCUCCCGGACUGUGGAACUUUAUACAUCCUUCGUUUCUCCUGGUGGCCUUCCCCGUAAAUUUAACGUUUAUCUCUCCACCAUGCAGAGAUGCUUGGUGGGCAAUGUGGAGUAUAUUUUUACAGCUUUGGUUUUUCUUUUAACUGUGAAGUUGUCACUAGCCUGCAGGAAAUGCGAUGCCAAAAGGAAGGGGAGUGGAUCCCUUCCAGACCUCUACAACUUUCAGAUUAUACUAAACCAGGAGCAAAAACCCUCUUUAGCAUUUGAAAGGGAAGGCAAUUGUAUUACUAAACCUCACUCAACCGCCUCCAGACUUUACUCAGCCAGAGAACAAAGGGAGAAAAGCAAACAUCACUUCACACCCUUAUUCAGGGGAGGUUAAAAGAGACCUCCCACUAUACAAAAGUCCUCUAAAGGUCAGUUUGGGAGUGUAUUGAGGAGGAAGGCACUGGCCAGGGAACAAAAUGUUUACCAUCACUCUUGGGCAGGCUGCUUCUGUUUUCCUUUCAGCACGUGCAUGGGGUACAUCUGUCAGAAUUGGACAUUUUCAUCCCUGAUUAGCUUGCUGGUGGUCAAAUUAUACUUGCUUGGCCCUCUUCAGUCUUUUUCAGAUUCUUGAUUCCAGUUGCACUAAGAAAGCAGGGCCACCCUGAGCCAAGACAACUCCCUGGUGAUGAUUGUUCAUUUAUAUUCAUCAAGUCAACAGGUAAUCAUUGAACGGGUAACAAGCACUAUACUAGGCGCUGGAAGGAUGGAACAAUGUGAGAGCUGAGGCUGUAGUCUUAGAGCUUCAAUUCAAUGGGAGAAGAAUGACAUUAAACAAUGAAACACACACUUCAUUAUUUAAGUACAACAGUGAUAAAUAUUUGAAGGAGCACACUGUGCCAAGAGAGCUUAACAUGAGAGUGGCCGACUUCACAUGGGCUGUAAGAGAGGGGGUUUCUUUCAGGAACGGAAGGAGUAGGAGUUAGCUGUGAGCCAGGGCAGUUGAGAUUCUGCUGGGUGGGGGUGGGAGCAGCAGGCAAAAACUCUCUGACUGGGAAAAAAUAUGGCCUGGCACAGGAAUUGGAAGAAGACUAACGUGGCUGGAGCCUAGAGGGCAGAAUGGGGCUGGAGACUAGGCAGGAGGGGAACUUCCACAGGGCUUUGUAUUCUGCAGGCUUUUGCUUUCUAUCUCCAAAGCAAUGGGGAGCUAGUUAUGGGAUUUAAUGAGGGAAGUAACUUAGGAGGGUUGCAAUGUAGAGAGAGAGUUUUAGGGGGCAAGAGACUAAUGCGGGGGGACCAGUUAACAAGCUGUGUCAAAAGUCAAGAUGAGAAGUUCUCGAAUUUUAAUGAGUUGCCUGGGGAUCCUGUUAGAAAUGCAGAUUCUGAUUCAGGAGGUCUGGGGUGGGGCCAGAGAUUCUGCAUUUAUUACCCAAGAGUUGUGUACUGACUUGUUAGUGAUUUCAAAUCUGUAUUUUGAAAGCUUGUUUUGGGCAAAGCUGUUUGUGGUUUGAACUUGUUUUGGAUAACUAGUUUUGAUGAAGUUUCACCAGCAACUCAAGAGCAUUCGGUCUGGGCAAGGCUACUCUUUGCUGAUCUAAAUAGCUCUCCGAAGAUCUGGAGACACUUGCUCCUGGUGUGGCCAUGCUACUCUUGGUUAGCACUGGUGUUAAACAAUGCAGCAGUCUCAGGAAGAGAUGGGACAUCUGUUCCUGCCUUGGCGAGGCUACUCCUCGUAGGCAGUGGCACAAGCUGUGUAACCAUCCCUGGAGUAAUAACUUUCAGAGAAGCCCACCUUGCCUGCCAACACUGGCACCAUUGCCCACCAGCUAUGUGCCCCAGGAGUGAAGGACCUAAGCUAGCAGCUGAUAAGCCCAGCUUUUGGUUGGAAAGGUUGACGCUACUGAGAACCAACUCGUAGAAAGGUACACCUCAACUCAGUUUGGACUUUACUUCUUUCAUCCCCCUUUGCCUGGAACAGUAGUGUAAUUAAUUUAUCAUUGGUUUGGAGUAUGUUAUUUUUUAUUGACUUAUUAAGAGACAUUAUCCUGUAUGCCACUGGCUUGUGAAAAAAUUAUAACUAGAAAUUAUAAUUCCUGUAGCAAGCUUGUGUUAAAUAAAUUAUUGG